rnacentral:misc_RNA from 1 species
GGUCAUUUAGAGGAAGUAAAAGUCGUAACAAGGUUUCCGUAGGUGAACCUGCGGAAGGAUCAUUAAAGAUUGACCGAAAGGUCUUAUCUCUAUAUCCCUCACCUCUGUGAACUGUGGACCUCCGGGUCUGUCUUAACAAACAUCAGUGUAAUGAACGUAUAUAUCAUUAAACAAAACAAAACUUUCAACAACGGAUCUCUUGGCUCUC